UCGAGAAGAUUUAUGCUGCAAUGGUACGAGUUUCAUCGUUCUAAUAACAACAUCCAUCCUCGACGAAAUGUGCCACCUCUAUUAGGCUAGCUGCCCCAUAUGUAAUUUUCUAGUGUCUACACUUCGAUGGCUUCCUUGAUUCUUGUUCGUGUGUAUCAUUUAUAUUCUUGAAAUUAGAUUAAUUUCACACAUUAGAAAAAUCAAUUGAAUAAUUUAUAAGCUAACUCACCAAACCUAACAUCGCAUCUUCAUUUUCACGUAACAUUGUUCUCUAUAUAAAUUCCGCAUCUCGGAAUAAUUUAUAAGCUCAUUCCAUUUCAAAUUUGCCGGCACUUCAAUUUACGUCCCCGGAAUUUAUUUGGAUCUGGCCGGAAUAUUCUACUCCGGCACCCACGUUAAUUGUCCCAUCUUUACAAUCAAUUUCACAGGCCAGGUAUUUACUUGUUUAAAUGUGUACACAUUCUUAAUCAUGAAUCUCAACAAGAAAUCCCAAUUUCGAUAGAUCUAUAGUGAAUAAAUUGAUUCCUAUGCAAUCGGUUUCGCCUUCACCGUUUCAGUGCUUGAUCCGGAAAGUUGAGGUUUUGUUUUCAUGCGGACGAAUUUUAGAAUUUGUUGUUCUGAUGAGAUGUGGCCGUAAUGCGAUUUUUGUGGGUGUGUGUGUGUGUUUUGAAUUGUAAUGGAUUCAAAAAUAGGC
rnacentral:lncRNA from 1 species